GUAUCUUCAUGAAAUUUGGAGAUGCCUCGGCGGAGGAAUAUUGGAGGAUGACAUGGUCGAAUUUGGGAUUUAUUGGAGGAAGUUUGGCGCAUGAAAUGAUGAGAUAACUGUGUGUCUAGGGGUUAAAACAAAGCUUUGGACUAAACUGCGAGAAACCAGGGACUUGUUUGUGAAUAUUUCUAGGAGGUGGAAGGGCAUAUCCGCGAGGAAUCCUUGAGAGUGGUGGAAGGGCCGGUUUGUGAAUAUGGG
rnacentral:lncRNA from 1 species